AUACUUACUUGGCGUAUGGGAUACCGUGAUCAUGCAGGCGGUUCCCCCAGGCCCAGGCUGCUCCAUUGCACUGCGGAGUGGUUGACCCUUGCGUGCGAUUAUUUAUAUUUUUUAUCAAU
rnacentral:snRNA from 9 species